GCUGAGGGAGGCCUGGAAGCAGCAUUUCUCAACUUCAGGUCUCCUGAUGACUAAUUUUAUAUGUCAACUCGACUGGGAUAAAGGACUCUCAAACAACUGGCUCUCCUAAAGUAAGAUAUUGAUGCUAUCCACUGUUAGAUGCCAUGGUCCCAGGUGGAGAGAUUUGCUAGCCAAGAGCCAGAAGCAUUCAAACUGUUGCAAGGACCUAUGAGAAUGCUGAAUACCUGUAGGGUGCGCAUGAAACCAGAAUGAGGCAGACUUUUUCACAGAGGACCUCCUGGUAUCCUGGCCCUUCCACUCUUUUCUCCUGCCUCUCUUGAGAUGUUCCCUGAGCCAUGGACACAGGCGCUGUGAGGAUUGCAAGACUGCUGGCGGCAGAAAGAUAUCUAAGCAAAUGAUCAGAGCUGACCAGAACUGAGUAAAUCAGAAAAUAAAAAAAGAACAUAAAGCAAGUAAACAAAUUUUCAGGAACCUAUCUCCCUCCAAGAUCGCCACAAAAUGUCAGCGCAUUAACGUGAAAACCCAACCUGCUACGAUACGCUUUAGAUGUAACCACCACAAAAUUGUAAUCACUCAAGAAUCACCCAGCAAGAGGUUGUAAUAAGAUGGCUGUGACCUCAAUUUAUAUAUGAAGAGGAUAAAGAUGAGAAAAACAGCCGAAAACUGAGACCAAGAAGCUUUUUAUGUGACAUCUCAAAGUACUGUGACUACACUUUGAGGGUACAACCUAGGCCCUCAGAUUUCAACAUGGUCACCCAUUGGCCUCUUAUAAAACCCAGAUGAAGGCCUGAAUUCCUAUGCAGUUUCAGAGAUCCCGUUUCAUGUCUUUCAGUCCAUCAGGCACCAGGUUUGAUUCAUGAGAUGUGCCUGGCUGUUCAUAUGAUGUCCUGUGACAUCUCACUACUCUGCAAAGUCUCCAACAGCAAGAAAAGACCUCAGCAAGUAUUAUCUCUCAACACUGACCAACUCAACCUUCAGGUUCCAGAUGCUGUAGCAGUCUUAGCCUUUGGGUUGGUGGAGACAAGAAGUCUGCUAAGCUUAGCAAUACAUCCCAGGAGCGUUGCCUAAUUGUCACAGAAAUGUGAGGUCCGGUGCUGAGGUUGGAAGUAAACGGCUAGUGGAGAUAGCCUGUGAAAAUGUUGGCGUCAGUCUGCAUCCUGUCUCUCUACAGUCACAAUACUGUGCUUAGUCAAGGGAAUGAGCAAAUCUGUCUCCCAUCUAAGAAGCCGCCCUUCUUAAAGAAUGUUCACUUCUUCCCCACCUGCCUCAUAUGUAAGGAACCCACAAGGACCUCAGUCUGCCCAGACACAAAAGUCAGAAAGAGCCAUUGCCGCUGGUAAUGUUUACUCUCUGUAUUCACAGCUCACUCUUCCAUCCAAGCAAAUCCUUCCCGUGGGAGAAAGGAAGACAUACGGCACAAAAAAAUCUGUCAAGGUGUCUCAGCAAAACACCCAGAUGUGUGUUUAACAGAGUCCUUUAAGUAUGGCAAUGAUCUAUUAAAGUGCUGGUGUUUCAAC